GUCCUCUUUUCCGUUGUUUAAGAAUUACUCUACUCUUGUAAUACACUUCGUUCAACGAUAGGACCAAAUCAACUUAAGGUCCCACGUAAAAUGUACGGACUAAGACCUGUUUAUUCGUAACGGGAACUUAUGUACCUACCACCGAGAAAUCGUCUGCAAUAUUUUCAGUUCUUUAGUUAUGGUCUCGGUCAAGAACGUGUAUACGAUGUCUUUCACAAUGAACCGGACUUCAUGAACGUACUUCAUUCUGUAGAUCACGUAUCUCUAGAUUUCGGUCGUUUAAAUGACCAUUUGGAAUUCCCGCUUCGUUUUUAAUGUCUAAAACCACAUUCACGACCAAACCUGUUAUGUUACCGAUACACACGAUGGAAACAUCCGUGACACUGUAUAUACAGUGGACUCUCUUAGGCGUUACUCUUGAUGAGGAUACGACGACUAUAAACCUCAGAACCUGAUUGCUAUAACCUCACACGAUGACCAUUUAAAGGUAUAUUACAGUUGCUUCCGGGUCGGUUAGAGUACGAUGUCUAUGAGCUACUAGGUAGUGGUUGUGGUGGUCUUCUACGGAUAUGUGGUCUUAAAACAAGGAAGUAUUUACUAACGAACUCCUUUCUACGACUACGUUCCGGAUGUACGCUCGUCGAAAACAGUGUGCGUAAAUAGUUCUCCAUACUCGUUUGACCACACCUGAACCGUCGUAUACAGUCCCCACAACAAUUAGGUUGUCUCUCUAAUUUCGUUUAUCGUCUCUACGAACGACAAGUAAUAAUGGAGGAAAAAUUACCGAGACUUCCUGGAACCUUAAUAUACUUCUGUAAGAUGUUCCUCCUUAGUAGAAAGUCAAAAAGUCCCUUACACAUACAGCCUGUUUCACGGUAUAAACUAUGAAAUAGUUUAUAUUCUUUCUUCAACUUUCCACUGGCCGGAUCUCUUUUUUAACAAGUACAACAACUCUUCGAUGUAACGGCGCGCUUACCCCUUUGUCUUUAACGAUAGGCACACAGACCUAGUAAGUAGUGCCCGUUGGUUAAGGACUAUAAACCACUUCCCAACGUUCGACUUCCCUACGGGUCGAACCUCCUUUAACUAUAACUGUAAGGUUCGUUCGCCCAACCGGUCAAGGCCCUCGUCAAAUGGCACGUAGGUCCCUGAAGGUACCCUACGAUGAUGUAUCGUUUCGUUCUAGAGAUGUAGCAGGUCAGUACUUUUGUUACAUAUUUCACAUUCACUACAAGGCCAAACACGGCAGUUACUAAGGUCAAGUACUACUUUCGAUACAGUACCAAAGGUGAAGAGCGCCGGGGUAUUGAAGCUGUCCGAAGUCUAGUGUUACGUCAGGACGAUGGUAACUGUAACUAAGGUAAAGAAGAGCUACGCUCGUUUGUUUGAACAUCGACUUUGUAUUGAAUUAAUAACAAACAUUCCACCAUUCCUCUUACUUCGCUAAGAUUACUAACAACACGUAUCUAGCUAUGAGAACUGUGUACCGUGCCAAAAUCAGCUCCGACGAGUUAAAGACAACAUGAGGGAGACAUUUGAUUAUAUUCUCACAAAUCUAUUGAUUUCAUCACUAGAUUUGCGAGAAUAUAAUCAAAUGUCUCCCUCAUCUACUCUUCUAACGCACACCCACGAUUAUUCACUGUGUCGAGUUACAUCCCAACAUGAUGAUUACGAAUACACAUUUUCUGAUUGA
rnacentral:rRNA from 1 species